AUUGAACGCUGGCGGCAUGCUUUACACAUGCAAGUCGAACGGUAACAGGCCGCAAGGUGCUGACGAGUGGCGAACGGGUGAGUAAUGCAUCGGAACGUGCCCAGUCGUGGGGGAUAACUACUCGAAAGAGUAGCUAAUACCGCAUACGAUCUAUGGAUGAAAGCGGGGGACCGUAAGGCCUCGCGCGAUUGGAGCGGCCGAUGUCAGAUUAGGUAGUUGGUGGGGUAAAGGCUCACCAAGCCAACGAUCUGUAGCUGGUCUGAGAGGACGACCAGCCACACUGGGACUGAGACACGGCCCAGACUCCUACGGGAGGCAGCAGUGGGGAAUUUUGGACAAUGGGCGCAAGCCUGAUCCAGCAAUGCCGCGUGCAGGAAGAAGGCCUUCGGGUUGUAAACUGCUUUUGUACGGAACGAAACGGCUCUGGUUAAUACCCGGGGCUAAUGACGGUACCGUAAGAAUAAACACCGGCUACUACGUG
rnacentral:rRNA from 1 species